rnacentral:other from 1 species
GAAAUCCUGAGGUGUACGUUAAGGUUAUGUAAUUUAUCCAACAUUAUGAUUCACGGGAACCCGGGUUCCCGACACAGAUGCCAAGCCGUUUUUUACGGAAGGCAGAAUGUCGGGACAGGACAACCACUUGUCUGGGAUAAGCUGUGUGAAUUAGUGACCUGACGACAUUUUGGGAUUUCU